UCACGGCCCUGGGAGAACAUGGUUAAGAAGUGAACUGGGGCCCUGCCCCAUAUGGGGUUCAUUUCCCUUUGCGGCGCUGUAGAGAGCUGAUGCAAGAGUUCCACACGUCCUCCCCUUGGUGUGGAGAUUUUUAAGAAGUGUUGUGAUCAGGAGGGAAGUCAGAAAAUGGAUCACAGACUUCAACGGAUGUCUGGCUUGGGACAUGUGGACACUGCCUCUGCUGUGUCCUCAGCGGAGAGACUGCCACGAGCCCCUGGUAUCCAGUCCCUGCAUCUUCUGAGAUGGCUCCAGGAGAAAGGGGCCAAAUACUGGUAUUAAAAAAAAACAAAACCUUAUAAUCAAAAUAAAAACAUUUAGAGGUAGGGGCUCAUGUA